rnacentral:rRNA from 1 species
UACGAAGGGGGCUAGCGUUGUUCGGAUUUACUGGGCGUAAAGCGCACGUAGGCGGAUUGUUAAGUUAGGGGUGAAAUCCCAGGGCUCAACCCUGGAACUGCCUUUAAUACUGGCAAUCUCGAGUCCGAGAGAGGUGAGUGGAAUUCCGAGUGUAGAGGUGAAAUUCGUAGAUAUUCGGAGGAACACCAGUGGCGAAGGCGGCUCACUGGCUCGGUACUGACGCUGAGGUGCGAAAGCGUGGGGAGCAAACAGG